ACGGAGGGUGCGAGCGUUGUCCGGAAUCACUGGGCGUAAAGGGCGCGUAGGCGGCCUGCUAUGUCGAACGUGAAAUCCCCGGGCUCAACCCGGGAACUGCGUCCGAUACUGGAUGGCUUGAAUUCGGGAGAGGGAUGCAGAAUUCCAGGUGUAGCGGUGAAAUGCGUAGAUAUCUGGAGGAAUACCGGUGGCGAAGGCGGCAUCCUGGACCGAUACUGACACUGAUGAGCGAAAGCCAGGGGAGCAAACGGGA
rnacentral:rRNA from 1 species